rnacentral:rRNA from 1 species
AUAAGUUAGUAAGGGCACCCGGUGGAUGCCUAGGCGCUAGAAGCCGAUGAAGGCCGUUGCAGGCUGCGAUAAGUCGCGGGGAGCUGCCAAGCAAGCUUCGAUCCGCGAAUGGCCGAAUAGGAAAACCUGAUGGGGGUCAUGCCUCAUCAUCCCUGCGUGAACACAUAGCGCAGUGGAAGGGAACCCGGUGAAGUGAAACAUCUCAGUAACCGGAGGAAAAGAAAACAAUAGUGAUGCCCCUAGUAGUGGCGAGCGAACGGGGUACAGCCCAAACUCACAUGGUGUCAAGGUGACAGCCGUUGCCAUGUGGGGGUAGUGGGAUCUGACCGAUCAACCUGUCAGUUGAUCAGGGUCGAUGCAUGCAGAUAACCGAAGAGUUCAGGAAAGUUCUCCCAUAGAGGGUAACAGGCCCGUAGGUGAAAUUUGUAUGCAGCCCGUCAGCCAUCCCAAGUAGCGCGGGACCCGUGAAAUCCUGUGUGAAUCUGUGGGGACCACCCCAUAAGGCUAAACACUCUCUAGCGACCGAUAGCGAACUAGUACCGUGAGGGAAAGGUGAAAAGUACCCCGGGAGGGGAGUGAAAUAGUACCUGAAACCGCGUGCCUACAAGCAGUUGGAGCCCCCUUGUGGGGUGACAGCGUGCCUUUUGAAGAAUGAGCCUGCGAGUUAGCGAUCAGUUGCAAGGUUAACCGGACGACGGGAAGCCGAAGCGAAAGCGAGUCUGAACAGGGCGUCGAGUAGCUGGUCCUAUACCCGAAGCGGUGUGAUCUAUCCAUGGCCAGGUUGAAGCGCGGGUAAGACCGCGUGGAGGACCGAACCCACCUAGGUUGAAAACUGGGGGGAUGAGCUGUGGAUAGGGGUGAAAGGCCAAUCAAACACCGUGAUAGCUGGUUCUCCCCGAAAUGCAUCUAGGUGCAGCGUCGCGUGUUCCGUGCUGGAGGUAGAGCACUGAUUGGUCGCGGGGGCCUACAAGCUUACCAACAUCAGUCAAACUCCGAAUGCCAGUACGCCAAGCGCGGCAGUGAGUCUGCGGGGGAUAAGCUCCGUAGUCGAGAGGGAAACAACCCAGACCGUCAGCUAAGGUCCCUAAAUUAUGGCUAAGUGGUAAAGGAUGUGGGACGUCACAGACAACCAGGAGGUUGGCUUAGAAGCAGCCACCCUUGAAAGAGUGCGUAAUAGCUCACUGGUCAAGAAGUCCUGCGCCGACAAUGUAACGGGGCUAAGCCAUAUACCGAAGCUACGGCAUGUACUUUGUACAUGGGUAGGGGAGCGUUGUGUUUGCUGAGAAGCGGAAGGGUGACCAACCGUGGAGCGUUCACAAGUGAGAAUGCAGGCAUGAGUAACGAAAGAGGAGGGAGGAACUCCUCCGCCGAAUGUCCAAGGGUUCCUGGGGAAGGUUCAUCCGCCCAGGGUAAGUCGGGACCUAAGGCGAGGCCGAAAGGCGUAGUCGAUGGAUAACAGGUUGAUAUUCCUGUACCAGCUACAACCGUUCGAGCGAUGGUGUGACGCAGGAGGUUAUCGCAACCGGGUAGAUGGUAGAGCCCGGGUAAGUGUUUAGGCUGCAGACCAGGUAAAUCCGGGCUGCAUCAAGGCUGAAGCACGACGCCGAUCCGGAUAGGAGAAGUGCGAAAUACCAUGCUGCCAAGAAAAGCAUCUAGCGAGGUUGACUAGCUGCCCGUACCCUAAACCAACUCAGGUGGACAGGUAGAGAAUACCGAGGCGAUCGAGAGAACUCUAGUGAAGGAACUCGGCAAAAUGGCCCCGUAACUUCGGGAUAAGGGGUGCCUACGAGAGUAGGCCGCAGUGACUAGGCUCAAGCGACUGUUUACUAAAAACAUAGGUGCAUGCUAAGCCGCAAGGCGACGUAUAUGUACUGACGCCUGCCCGGUGCUGGAACGUUACGAGGAGAGGUUAGCUUCGGCGAAGCCUUGAAUCUAAGCGCCAGUAAACGGCGGCCGUAACUAUAACGGUCCUAAGGUAGCGAAAUUCCUUGUCGGGUAAGUUCCGACCUGCACGAAUGGCGUAACGACUUGAGCACUGUCUCCACUAGAGACUCGGUGAAAUUGCAAUACGAGUAAAGAUGCUCGUUUCGCGCAGCAGGACGGAAAGACCCCGGGACCUUUACUGCAACUUGAUGUUGGAGUUCGGUGCUAUCUGUGCAGGAUAGGUGGGAGGCUUUGAAGCGGGCACGCUAGUGUUCGUGGAGCCGACCUUGGAAUACCACCCUGGUAGUAUUGGGCUUCUAACCUAGAUCCGUUAGCCGGAUCAGGGACAGCGUCUGGUGGGCAGUUUAACUGGGGCGGUUGCCUCCUAAAUAGUAACGGAGGCGCUCAAAGGUUCCUUCAGGCCGGUCGGUAAUCGGCCUUCGAGUGUAAGGGCACAAAGGAGCUUUACUGCGAGACUGACAGGUCAAGCAGUUGCGAAAGCAGGACCUAGUGAUCCGCCAACCUCAAGUGGGAGAGUUGGCGCUCAACGGCUAAAAGGUACCCCGGGGAUAACAGGCUUAUCUUCCCCAAGAGUCCAUAUCGACGGGAAGGUUUGGCACCUCGAUGUCGGCUCGUCGCAUCCUGGGGCUGAAGCAGGUCCCAAGGGUUGGGCUGUUCGCCCAUUAAAGCGGCACGCGAGCUGGGUUUAGAACGUCGUGAGACAGUUCGGUCCCUAUCCGCUGCGCGCGUAAGAAACUUGAGAAGAGCUGCCCCUAGUACGAGAGGACCGGGGUGGACGAACCUCUAGUGUGCCGGUUGUCCUGCCAAGGGCAUGGCCGGUUGGCUACGUUCGGAAGGGAUAAGCGCUGAAAGCAUCUAAGCGCGAAGCCUGCUUCAAGAUGAGGUUUCUCUUUAAGGAUCCCAGUAGACGACUGGGUUGAUAGGCCGGAUGUGGAAGGGCAGUAAUGUCCGCAGCUGACCGGUACUAAUAAUCCGAUCACUUAUUGUG